rnacentral:sRNA from 2 species
ACGUACCACACGUACACUCCGAUUGCUGCGCGCCGUCCGCACCGCCUGACGACUGCUCGCUACGUUUUGUUAGCC